rnacentral:rRNA from 1 species
UGGGGAAUUUUGCACAAUGGGGGAAACCCUGAUGCAGCGACGCCGCGUGAUUUAGAAGGCCUUCGGGUUGUAAAAAUCUUUUCUAUGGGAAGAAAAUGACAGUACCAUAGGAAUAAGGACCGGCUAAUUACGUGCCAGCAGCCGCGGCAAUACGUAAGGUCCGAGCGUUGUCCGGAAUCAUUGGGCGUAAAGGGUACGUAGGCGGGUAAGCAAGUUAGAAGUGAAAUCCUAUAGCUCAACUAUAGUAAGCUUUUAAAACUGCUCAUCUUGAGGUAUGGAAGGGAAAGUGGAAUUCCUAGUGUAGCGGUGAAAUGCGCAGAUAUUAGGAGGAAUACCGGUGGCGAAGGCGACUUUCUGGCCAUAACCUGACGCUGCGAUACGAAAGCGUGGGGAGCAAACAGG